rnacentral:snRNA from 1 species
GUGCUCGCUUUGGCAGCACACAUACUAAAAUUGGAAUGAUACAGAGAUUAGCAUGGCCCCUGCGCAAGGAUGACACGCAAAUUCAUGAAGCAUUCCAUAUUUU